rnacentral:rRNA from 1 species
AUGGCGGAUGGCAUCUUCGAAUGUGUAGGGGUACAAAUCUGCCGCCGCCAACAUGCGCCAGCCUCUGCCGUUACUGCGUAUUGCAUUGAUGGCAAUCCUUAUGUCGAACACCGCGAUGAGAUAGUAAUCGUCAUAGCCGUGUCGCUUUGUCGGCGGAUCCGCAAUUGCUAUCUUCUUCAAUCUCAUGUAGGCAUCAUCAUACGUAUUCAAGCCCAGCCAGUCCGGAAGGCCGGUCCCAAUGGUGGAGAAGGGGUCUAUCAGAACGGCCGCACUGCUGUGGAUGUUGUGCAAAAUGAUGGUGGUAUCCGGCCGGAGGUAUGCAAGCCAAUCUUCGUUGGCACCGACCUAGACCUAUAUAUAAGACGGUGGGCAGCGGUGAAAUUACGGGAUGGAAAUGGAAUAACUAAGUACUACAUGAUCAAACUCCAUUACUGA